rnacentral:tRNA from 9 species
GGGGCGGAUGUAGCCAA